GCCUAUGUCAGGAAAAAGAGUAAUAAUUACCUAACUGUAACAUUUUGUAGGUACCAAUCAGUGUGUGCUCCUUUCUCCACACAUUAGCCCAGGCGUUCUCUGUGAAGAGAGAGGGAAGAGCCUGGAGUCUUGGCCAACCACUUUUAUAGGUCAAGCCUUUAAGCCUCAGUUUUUCAUUUGCCCUAUAUGGCAUUUCUUAGGAUUGUUUUAAAUCCAAUGAGAAACCAUGAAGCACUCUAUAAAUGCAAAGUAGUGUCCUCUGUUUAUUCAGGGAACAGUACAGGAAUGUGUGUGUACAUUCAAUUAACUUCUUCACUGACUGACUCUUCAGCAAACAGGCUACCAAAGGAUACUUCUGUCCCAGGCAGAAGACACACCAGGCCUUGUUCAUCCUGUGUGCUGUCUCUGUGAGCACAUACUGUGACUCUGAGAGAAGCAAGACUUGUUGCCACUCACUGUUAGAAACUUCCUAUUGGGAAACUAAAUCACCUCUUAGGGUCACAAAACAAUUUCAAAAUGUUCCUAGCAGCUGCUCUCAAGGGGGCUACUGAAGCAUAAUACAAAUUCAAAUUCAAUACAUCUAAGCUGGAACCAUGACACAGCCCAAAGACCAUUUCAGGAGUAAACGGACCCAGGUCCAAGGUUCUAUUCCUGUCACUUGCCAGCCAUAUGACUUGGGGUAAAUCCCUUAAUUCUUCUGAGUCUCACUUCUUCCAUUUGUCAAAAGCAAAUAACAGUAUUUAUACCUCACAACACUGUGAGGUUGAAAUGAAAUCAUGUAACAAGACCAGGCCCAGGAGAGUAACCUUUUCUACAAAAACACACUGGGUACUUCAAACCAGGUGAUGGAGCCCACGGCAAAAUAAGGAGCAUGCUGCCUACAUCCAGACUUUUUACUAAAAAAAAAAAAGAGUUGAACAGAACAGUGUGCUUAGCAAUGUAGAUGAUUUACAUGAUGAUGCAAACUUCUUAUCACCGAAACCCAAACCUGUUGCCAUCAAGUCAGUUCUGACUCAUAGUGACCCUACAGGGCAGAGCAGAACUGUCCCUAGGGUUUUCAAUUAUGUAAGCAGACUGGUCUUUCUCUGGCAGAGCAGCUGGCUGGUUCGAAUCGCUGACCUUUCAGUUAGCAGCUGAGCAUCUGGCCACUGUGCCACCAGGGCUUCUAUCUCAUCACAGACAGGUACAAACAGUUUGCAGAGCUGCAGCUAGUCCAAUGACCAGAUUUUGAGUAGCUCGAAUCAAGUCACUAAAAAAUUCUAAUAUCUGAAUGAAGGCGUAACUGUUGUUAGGUGCCAUUGAGUCAGCUCUGACUCAUAGCGACCCUACAGGACAGAGUAUAACUGCCCCAUAGGGUUUCCAAGGAGCAGCUGGUGGAUUUGAAGUGCUGACCUUUUGGUUAGAAGCCAAGCUCUUAACCAUUAAGCCACCAGGGCUCCAAAGGUGUUACUAAGUCCUAGAUAUUUAUUUGAAUCCUCAAGCUUCUGUACACUAUUUAACUAUGAGAGGUUCUUGCCUACAACUUAAAACAUAUGAAAGCUUAUUUUUUUUUUUUUAAAUCACAGGAAGAAGUUACAAUACCAAGGCUCCAAUCCCAGAUUUACAACUCACUAGCUGUGUGAUUUUGGAUAAGUCAUUUCACAUCUGAGACUUAGCUUCCUUAUCUGUAGGAAAAGGGGUUUAGAACAGUGAAAUAAAGGCAACUUUCCACUCUCCCAUCUUGGUUUCUCAUUUAUCGGCUGAGAUGAGUAGUGCCAUGCAGAAUCUGGGGUUUCCACCUGACAACAUUUCUGGCAAGCCAGCCAGGAGUCAUCUGCUUGGUUCUGGAGGUGGACUGGACAACAGGCUGGCCCUGACAUCUGGCACCACCAGGAGAUUUCUCCCGGAGACCUUGGAGCAGCCCUGGAAGCUGAUCUGCCUCAGACUCAACCAUGACUCUGCAGGAGACACGAAAUGUGCCCGCGUUAUUUGGUAAGUACCUAGGUAAGGCCUUAGAAGAGUCCCAAGAAGUGGGACGAAUUGACUGUUGAGGGUGUAAAAGGCUCUAGGUAUCUGUUAUUAGGUUGGUGUACUGAAUUAGGUUGUGGGAGUGUAUAAGUGUGUAUGUGUGUCCGGAGAAUGGAGAACACUCAAAGGAUCCCAGAAUGCAGCCCGCUAGGAUGAAUCCUUAAGAACUGGGAAUACUGCAGGUCAGACCCUAUGAAAAAGAAGAAGAUGAUCUUCUUUUCUAACACUGCAUGUCCUCAGUAUGAACUGGCAGAUGGGUAAAAGUGUCCAGCAAGUAGUCUCUAAAUUAUAACACAAUCUUCCAACUUGAUCUUUUCUGUAUUCAUGAGAGUAAAUGAGAUGAAAAGUAUUAUGGUUUCCACCUUUAUGACUGUAUUGGGAUAAGGGGUUGCAGAAGUAAUGUAAAAUUCUAGUCCAGAAAGGAGGCAGCAGAUCACACCACCAGUCCUCCCCUCUGAUCCUGAGGAAGAAUCCUUGUUGCCCUUGCCUGCCGCUCCGCCUCCCUUUAUUCUUCCGUUUUGGGAGAAGCGACUAUACAGGCAAUGAUUCCCACUGCUAAACCCUCUUAGUCCCCUCCCAAGCCCUUCUGCCCUGGCGUUGGGCUCGCCAACCCAUACAUGGAAUGGAACUGCCUUUGGGCACCCCAAUUGGUGACUAGGGAGAACAAAAGUAACAUGAGGGUGACCAAUUCUUGGGAGCACCAUAGCAGAGUCGAACCCAGGGGCAUGCACCCCCUCCAACAAGUCCCAGCAGGAGAUACCAGCAUGGUCUGGGUCCACCAACCUUUCUCAACAACUGAUCUUUAUAACUGGAAAAACCACUGCCCCAGGUAUUGGGAAGACCCUAAGAGAAUGCAGGAUCUUUCUGCAUCCAUCUUCCUCACUCAUAACCCUAAUUGGACAGACUGUCAGGUGCUGCUAGAUUGUGCUCCUGACCCCAGAAGAAAGGCACAUGGUCCUAGAAAAGGGUAGGGUUGAGGCCAACAGAUGUAGGCAGUAAAUGAGCCGGGGUAGAGACUUUCCCCAUGGGAGACCCUGGCUGGGAUCACCAGAUGGCCGAGGGAUGCACUGACCUUGCUUAUCACCGGGAGUGCCUUUUUAGAAGGGAUGAGGAAAGGGGUGCCAAAAAAACAAAAAAACAAAAAAUCUUAGCAAAAUAUAUGGGAUCAAACAAGAACCAACCAAAGAUCCCUCUAAGUUUCUGUAAAAAUUUAUGAGGCUUUUAGACAGCUUGCAGAUAUGGACCCUGAGAGUCCUGAAAAAGCUCACAUGGUGAAAAUGAUUUUUUUUAUCAGGCAGAGUGACCCGGACAUACAGAAAAAAACCUCCAGAAACAUGAGGGAGGUGUGGAGUUGGGGAUCUCAUGGCUUGAUAAGCUUGCCUACCAGAUAUAUUCCAACUGGGAUCAGGAACAGGAAAAGAAAAAAAUCACUGAUCAGAAGAGUCAGGUCGCAUUCCUGGCUGCCACCUUGCAGGGAAAUGACCCAUCUCCCAGCGGACCAAGAAGAGGAGGGCCCCUGAAGAAAGACGGAGGUGAGAGUCCCUAACCCCCAUUAAGCCAAGACCAGUGGGCCUGGUGCAGAGAGAGGACACUGGAAAAGAGAGUGCCCUAAAUUCCUACCCAGAGAUAAGAAAAAGCCUGGUGCUGCCCAGUGUGCCAUAAUGCUGACAGGUGAAGACCUGGAU